UUUCGGAGCUAACGCGUUAAGUAGACCGCCUGGGGAGUACGGUCGCAAGAUUAAAACUCAAAUGAAUUGACGGGGGCCCGCACAAGCGGUGGAGCAUGUGGUUUAAUUCGAUGCAACGCGAAGAACCUUACCUACUCUUGACAUCCAGAGAACUUUCCAGAGAUGGAUUGGUGCCUUCGGGAACUCUGAGACAGGUGCUGCAUGGCUGUCGUCAGCUCGUGUCGUGAGAUGUUGGGUUA
rnacentral:rRNA from 4 species